UGUCGACGACGCGGUCGAUCUCGUCGUCGCGGCCGAUGACCGGGUCGCCCUCGCCGGUCAUGUCCCGGCCGUAGGUGCGCAGGCACUUGCGGGACUGGAAGUAGCUCCACGCCCAGUGGCACAGCGCAGAGGUUGCUAGAGCGACGACCGUGCAGCACGCGCGCUCCAGCAAGAGCUGGCCACUGACGGGCGGGCGUUGCACGGUAAUCGCACGCACAGAAGUGACCCUGUCAUCACGCGGAGGCGGUUGCCGCCUCUUCUUAUUAACCUUCCACCGAAUCAUCGCUACCUAAUUUGGCUAGUAAUUUGGGGUCCCGGCAGUCGCAAAAUCGCUGCGCCCUCAUGACCUUUUAUACUACUAUAUAUAUAUAAUAUGCGUUAUGCGUUAUUACAUGUAGAAUCCGUGUCGGUGUCGCCCAAAUCUCGGAGUACGUAUACAAAUAGGAACCGGCUGACUGAUUAGAACCCACAGCCUUGUGCGCGGCAUGGUCGGAGACGUCGCACCGGGUGUAGGCAGUGUCCGGCCGGGCCAAGCUCCGCGGCGACCGAGCGGCCCACGUCGGCGAUGAUGACCUUGCCGCCAUUCCUGAUGAACUCCGUGGCUGCCGCCUUGCCGAUCGAUGCCGCUCUUCUCUGCUGUAACUGUACCCAUAUGGCCAUAUCGGCAGUAUAUCAUGACGCAGAAGAUGAUAAGACACUCGAACUCCAUGUCCGGUGCGCAACGACGGAGAGUACUAGCAGCCGUGAGAGAAGAGAAAGAAGUUCUGCACCUCUGCUCGCUAUUUUUCUCUUCCGGCAAUGCUACACGUACAAACAGUUUGCAGGCUUUUACAGGGUGGGUUAGUUUUCAUUGGCCAAUAGAUGAGCGGGACGGCCCACCCCCUGAAAAUCAGGGGAGAAGAGGUUUGUCAUUGGUUGUUAGAUGGAAACAGUUUACAGGCUUUUAUAAAUCUUUGUAUGUCUAGCAUUUUUGUUUUCUCUUCACCAACAGUGACCAAGCCUGUGGGUCUUCGGAUCAACUUCCGCCGGCCACGCGCCACGCUUGUCUCACGCGGCCACGCAAACCACCCAUUGCUAGACACGUGUCUCUAGUGGGUCCCCGCGUGACGCGUUCCUGAGCACUAACUUUCUCUGAAUCCCAA